rnacentral:rRNA from 1 species
ACGGAAGGCAGCAGUGGGGAAUAUUGCACAAUGGGCGCAAGCCUGAUGCAGCGACGCCGCGUGAGCGAAGAAGUAUUUCGGUAUGUAAAGCUCUAUCAGCAGGGAAGAUAAUGACGGUACCUGACUAAGAAGCACCGGCUAAAUACGUGCCAGCAGCCGCGGUAAUACGUAUGGUGCAAGCGUUAUCCGGAUUUACUGGGUGUAAAGGGAGCGUAGGCGGUUUUACAAGUCUGAUGUGAAAGCCCGGGGCUCAACCCCGGUACUGCAUUGGAAACUGUAGAACUAGAGUGUCGGAGGGGUAAGUGGAAUUCCUAGUGUAGCGGUGAAAUGCGUAGAUAUUAGGAAGAACACCAGUGGCGAAGGCGGUUAGCUGGACAAUAACUGACGCUGAGGCGCGAAAGCGUGGGUAGCAAACAGGAUUAGAUACCCUGGUA